rnacentral:rRNA from 1 species
GGGUAUCGUUAAUAGCAUAUUCAUUUGACGUUAGCUGCAGAAGAAGCACCGGCUAACCUCCGUGCCAGCAGCCGCGGUAAUACGGAGGGUGCGAGCGUUAAUCGGAAUUACUGGGCGUAAAGCGCAUGCAGGUGGUUUGUUAAGUCAGAUGUGAAAGCCCGGGGCUCAACCUCGGAAUUUGCAUUUGAAAACUGGACAAACUAGAGUACUGUAGAGGGGGUAGAAUUUCAGGUGUAGCGGUGAAAUGCGUAGAGAUCUGAAGGAAUACCGGUGGCGAAGGCGGCCCCCUGGACAGAUACUGACACUCAGAUGCGAAAGCGUGGGGAGCAAACAGGAUUAGAUACCCUGGUAG